rnacentral:snRNA from 1 species
GGAUGUGAGGGCGAUCUGGCUGCCACAUCUGUCACCCCACUGAUCGCCAGGGUUGAUUCCGCUGAUCUGGCUGGCUGGGCGGGUGUCCCCUUCCUCCCUCACUGCUCCACGUGCCUCCCUCCCAAAGCUGUGCGCUCGAUCAAAGAGGACGACCUUCCCCGCUAGAGGAGGACCGGUCCUCGGUCAAGGGUAUAUGAGUAGCUGCGCUCCCCUGCUAGAACCUCCAAACAAGUUCUCCAUUUUUCUUUAAAAGCAGCAACCGAAUUGUAGUCCAGGGUUUUGUGUCAUGGAUGAGAGACUGCUGAUUGUGGGUAGGGGCUCCUC